AUAAAGCACAAAUCCAUAUGCUGCUAUCUUCACUAAAAUCAAUCUGCAUAGAUAACCAUCGAGGAACAUACCACAGCUAAUGGAAAUAAGAGCAUAGAAUAAAUCUCAAUGCCGCAAAACGUGGAACUAAUUGAUAAAUGUUGUCACGUUAGUUCAUUAUUAUGUGCAGAUCUCAGAAUUUAGAUCCUCUAGAUAUACAAAGAUUCAUCCACAUUGGGUUCCCUUCAGGCCAAUGAUAAAUAACAUGAAGGUUGAACUGUUUUACUUCAAAAAACAAAAAAUAGAAGAAAGGAAGUCUGACCUGACUAUAUUGCAAAAAACAAU
rnacentral:misc_RNA from 1 species